AUAAACAUGCUCUGUGAGUGGGAGAAUUCGAAUGCUGCAUGCCAGCUGACUUUCUGUCACCCACACUGACCCUCUCAAUACUGCAUGCUGAGCUCCACUAACUCCCAUACUAUGUAAUUGAUGGAGUGGAACAAACUUCACAGCAAGUUAAAUGCAGACUUUAUUCAAGCUCCAAGGGACUUGGAAAGACCUUCAGCCCAGUCAGCCCAGAUGAGCCCACCUCUGUGAGCCCCUUGAUUUGGAAUGGCGGCUUGUAUGUCUGUGUCAACAGGAAGCUCACUGCAUUGUGACUCAGGUGAGGAGGCCUGCCCUGGGAGCAAACUCCUCUGCAGCCAUCAUCACGACAGGCACAGCACAAGGGUAAGCCCUGGACCAAGCCACAAAGGUAGCAAGAUUGGUUUUCGGAGUUUCUCGUAGGCUGUUCUUCUUGCCUUCUGUCACACUCACUCCAUCAGGGCCUGUUUGCUGCCCAGAUGAGCCACACACAUCGGCUGGAUGAAAUGAAACUUGCCCUUCUUGUCCUACAUGUCUGUAUCUAAAAGUAUACAUUUUGGAAAGAGGCCUUAUUAAUCUAAAUACUUUUUAUUUUAAGGCUGAAUGUUUUUCUACCAAUGCAUAAGAUCUACCAGCCACAGACAGGCACUGUUUUUAGAUGGUCUUGAGGCAUCUCAUUUUACAAAGGAUAUAGAAACAGACGGAUGCUAUAUAGAAACUGGUGGAGUGGGGUGGAAGAGAAGACAGAAGACAAGGGUUAUAAUUUAAUCAUAUAAACUCUGGAUGCAAUAACCAAGGUCUCCCCAGAAAGCUGUCAGUGUAUACUUGUGUGGUGAGUAGAUUUCUAAUCAGCUCUAGAAGGGUGGCCAAACACAGCUAAACUGUGUCUUUUAGUAGCAGGAAAAGCAUCUGCUAUAGUUUAGAUGUUUGUCCCCCAAACUCCAUAUUGAAAUUUGACCCCCAAUAUUGGAUGGGGGCCUAAGGGGAGGUGUUUGGAUCCUGAGGACAGAUCCCUCAUGAAUGUCUUGGUACUGUCCUCACAGUGAAGAGUGAGUUCUCACACUAUCAGCUCCCUUGAGAAACUGGUUGUCAAAACAAGCCUGGCACUCCCCAUCCCCUCACCACGUGGUCUCUGCACACACGAGCUUCCAUUCACUUUUCAUCAUGUAUGGAACCAACCCGAGGACCUCAUUGGAAAGAGAGUGGAUGCUGGCACCAUGCUUCUUGUUCAGCCUGCAGAACUGGGAGACAACAUAAACCUCUUUCCUUUAUAACUUACCCAGACUUGAGUAUUUCUUUGUAGCAAUACAAACAGACAAAGCAUCUGACAAGCAAGUUGUUCAAUGAAGAGAUUGUUAGAGCCUGGGGAAGAGUCAUCAUGUUCAAUUGGUACAAGAUGCAAUUAACUAAUAUGAUUUGGGACAGCUGUCUCCAUUGAGGUCACCAGGGUGUCAUGGAGUGAAGCUUCAGGAGGAAGAGCUGACUACUUCCUACCCUGGGCUCCAUUUUUGUCAGGGCUCUACAGAGAGACAGAACUGACAAGAUAUAAAGAGAGGAAUAAAACAAAAAUCCAGAUAUUUCUAUAAAUCCGAUUAUUUGCCAAAUUAAAUGUGAAAGCUUGCCUCUAUCUCUUUCCAUUGUGUGCAGAUAUUUUGCACAGUGUGGAUUUGGUCUCUAGGUGUGAGUGUGCCCUGGACACAAUGCAUAGUAGACAGACAUUGUGCUUCGUUGUAGACACUGUGCUAGGCACGUAUUACACAUUGCCCCAAAUCCUUAUCACAAACACAUCAGGAGUAUGAUGGCCAAGGAGGAAGCUGUGGCUCAGCCCAUUGAGGCUGUAUAUCCAGGGAUCAACAGCCAGUAAGUGGGUGUGCUGACUCCCAAGGCCAAAGCCCACCUACUUGCCAGGUAACUUUCUAGGGAUAUGAAGGCAUUCUAUGUUAUGAUGGUGUGUGUUACAUGAGUGUAUCUGUCUACCAAAAGUGUGCUUCCAUGAUUUAUGCAAUCAGAUAUGGGAUAUAAUGGUAACUCAUGUUUUUACCCAAGGAUUUUUUCAUCACCAUAAAACAUCACUUCUACUCAGCUUUAUUCUAAUGAUUUGAGGCAGAGUUUAAAAAUCUGUCAAAAUUAAAUAUAUUUUUAACAAAGUGAAGACAUCUAGACAAACAGACAAUGGGGUAGGAAAGAUGGAGCUAAAACCAGGGCUGAGUUUCAUUCACAGAUGGCUCGAGGUCCUACUCAAUUACUAGAAAUGGGCUAAAUAUUCACCUCUAAGCUUUCCAAUAAGCAACACAGUAGGAACAAUAUCAACGCAAUAGGCCUCAGAGUCCAUGAGAAAUAAACUAAACAGUUGCUUAGGGAAAGCAGAGCUAUUUCUGGUAAGAAAUUCAGAGAGAGUUUUCCUUUGAGUCUUCAUAAAGAAGACACUCUUCGAUGUAGGGCGCAGCAUUAACUACAUUCUUAUGCAAGUUGUAAAGGCUAAAUCUCAUAAAAUAUUUUAAUAUAGGCCAUAACACCAAGCAGCAAAAAUAGAGAACUAGAGGAUGGGGAGAUGGAAUUUGCUGUGUUUGGAAAUUAAUACGAUUAUUGGUUUUCUGUGUUCUCACUUAAUCCAGGGUUUUAAGGAAUCUAGAGAAAAAUCAGGAUUGAUGUUUUUCAUUAGUGCGUUUUCUUACAACUAAAGCUCUUGAACGCUCUGGGUGGUGGGGAGUUUGGGUUGCACUUGGCUUGUGAUGAGUUUCCCAGGGAGAUGCACUUCUCAGCUGGACCACCUGAGCACACCACCAGGAAAAGCUUUUGGGUAACCCCGGAGGCAGGAAAAUUUCCUAUGGGUGCUUUAUUCAGCUGUAGUCCUAUAAUCAGCCUUUCACAUAAUUUGAUAGAACUGACCAAUGUGAAAUGAAACUGUUAAUAAGAUCCCAAACUCUCCAGAGAAGAGGACUCUCUAUGGCUAGUAGAAACACCCAAAUUAAAAUAAUGGAAACCCAAUGGCCAUAGUUAGAGAAGGGUGGUCACGUGCCUUUUGUUUCUGAAGAGGGCAGUUCCAAACAAACAUGCUGUCUGUGCCUCUGAGCUAAGACAGUUCUUGUAAAGGGAGCUGAGGCACCAUGGCUGGAAAUCUCCUCCAACCAGCCUGAAAGGGCAUCCAAUAGACACUUAUGGUUUGGGGUUUAGAAAGUACCCAGUCAAGACUGUUAUUUUCAACCAAUCAGAAUUGAAUGUGUUCAAAUCAUUCAUUUACAUAUACAGACCUGAUUGAAGACUGUGACAGGAAUUUUCUUUAUUUAAGCCAGACCCUUUCUUUGUUCUCCAGAAUGUGCUUUUGUUUUCCACCAAAGCCUGUGUCUUCCCGAUACCUAGA
rnacentral:lncRNA from 1 species